rnacentral:rRNA from 1 species
UACGAAGGGGGGCUAGCGUUGCUCGGAAUUACUGGGCGUAAAGCGCACGUAGGCGGCUUUCUGAAGUCGGGGGUGAAAUCCUGGAGCUCAACUCCAGAACUGCCUUCGAUACUGGAAAGCUCGAGUCCGGGAGAGGUGAGUGGAACUGCGAGUGUAGAGGUGAAAUUCGUAGAUAUUCGCAAGAACACCAGUGGCGAAGGCGGCUCACUGGCCCGGUACUGACGCUGAGGUGACGAAAGCGUGGGGAGCAAACAGG